ACAAAAUGAAAGUAACAAAAUACAAAUAAUUCAGCACAACCUCACACAACUAAACUAACUAGUGAUGCAAAUUGUGAACACAAAUUUAAUAUAUACCAGCAGAAUUUGCAGCAUACGAGAUGCCUUUGAUUGGAAUUUAGUGAUUUUUUAUUUAAUAUAUAACCCAAUGUGCUUAUUAAUUUUCCAAUGGAUGCUGAUUUAAUAUAUAAAGAUUAUUGCGCAAUUGAUACCCUUAAGAUUAUUGCGCAAUUGAUUUAAUAUAUAAAAAUUUGACUUCACAAUUGAAUCUUCACACAUUCGGAAUUAUUACAACCAAAAUUGGGCAUUAAUUAAACCAAUUACCUCCACGAAUUGAUUACGACGGCUACAACUAUCUACAGGGCAGACAGAGAAAGAGAAACCCAACGAGAUGCGCGAGAGAGAUCCACGACGAGAGAAAGUCGAAGGAGAGAGCAGCGAGAUGAGUGAGAGGCCGGAUGAGAGAGACCCGCGGUGAGAGAGAGAGCCACAGCCGAAGACAGACCCAAGGCGAGAGAGAGAGACCCACGGUGAGAGAGAGAGCCACUGCCGAAGACAGACCCAAGGCGAGAGAGAGAGACCCACGGUGAGAGAGAGAGCCACUGCCGAAGACAGACCCAAGGCGAGAGAGAGAGACCCACGGUGAGAGAGAGAGCCACUGCCGAAGACAGACCCAAGGCGAGAGAGAGAGACCCACGGUGAGAGAGAGAGCCACUGCCGAAGACAGACCCAAGGCGAGAGAGAGAGACCCACGGUGAGAGAGAGAGCCACUGCCGAAGACAGACCCAAGGCGAGAGAGAGAGACCCACGGUGAGAGAGAGAGCCACUGCCGAAGACAGACCCAAGGCGAGAGAGAGAGACCCACGGUGAGAGAGAGAGCCACUGCCGAAGACAGACCCAAGGCGAGAGAGAGAGACCCACGGUGAGAGAGAGAGCCACUGCCGAAGACAGACCCAAGGCGAGAGAGAGAGCCACAACCGAAGAGAGACCCACGCUCGAGAGAGAAAGAGAGAAAGAGAGAAAACUGAAAGACAGAGCAAUCCCACGAUGAAGAGCAGAGCUUGAAGAUGGCAAAGAACUGGCUGCAAUUGAACUCGUUGCUUGGUGUGAAAUGCAUGAGUGAGAGUGAUGCAUGCGUGAGAUGAGAUGCGCGUGCAGUGUGUUUGCUUGUUCAAACAGUGCCCUUUUAUAUUACAAAUAAAACGCACCGUUCGGGACUUACUGUGGUGCUUAUUGUGGGCUGAAUAUCGGUGUUGU
rnacentral:lncRNA from 1 species